rnacentral:piRNA from 1 species
UUCAAUGAUACUUCCAGUGUU